rnacentral:misc_RNA from 1 species
CUACAACGACUGGCACCGAUGCCCUCUUUGGGCUCCUGCAGUUGCCCUUCAUGUAACAUAGUAGGCGUUGCUGCGCCGACGCACCUCAGAGACUAGUUGCGCGCUCAAUCAUUGUCGUUUUUUUCGGGGGUCGUCCACAGCUGCCCUAACCAUGAGUGAGAGCACCUCCAGCGGCGAUGGGACAACCCUGAGCAACCUCUCCCCCUUGUUUCAGCCAUCGUAUGGCCCGGCAGCACACCACAGCGGCUGUUCUUUCUCGGCCGCCGAGGGCGACCGAGAUCGGGACCAGACCCGGCGGACUUCCACGAGACCAACAGGAAACGCCGCGCAGUUUCACGCGGGCGGCAACUCUCGCGUUUCGUACCACACCGCCGAGGUCCUGCCACUCUCACCGAUGGCGCACGCUGGCGAGUACAUGUACGCCAUGGAUGCCCGUAAGAGUCCUCUGAGCGUCUCGGGCACCUCCCUGGACUCCGCCAGCCUGGGGGACUCACAAAAGCACUCGUACCACCCCAUCGAGUUUGUGCGGAGCGGCACUGACAACGUUGACUCCCUCAAGAGCGCCAGACCUAUGCGCCCCCUCAGCGUCUCCACCCACCCCACUGCCGCAAACGUGGCGUCGUUCACACCGGCCCUCAGCGCCAAGAAUUCGAUUGUCUCGCCACCAGAGAAAACCCUUUCUUCUGUCUUGAUGCAGCCCCUCGCACACGCACGGAAGUCAUCCGGUGCAGCGAGUGGAGCAGGCGCGCUGCUGGAAGGCGGCACUCCACCUCUCCUCUCCCCUGCCUCGCAGUCAGUUUACCCGAAGGAGCCAGCCGCAAAGGUGCCGACUUCCUCCUCCGACUUCCUCACGUCACCUCACCCAACAGUCGCGCCCCUGCACCGCCAUCCAUUCGCUGAUAAGCGUAGCCAGUCGUCGAACCUGCCCAGUCAGCUGGACGCCACUCCAACAGAGCCGCCCAGAACCGUGCGCGAUGCCUCCCCGAGCCCUCUGGUAGAGUCGGGCGCUGACCCUCCCCGCUUCCCAGAGCCGCUGCAGUCACAACCGCAUGUACUCCCCAAUAGCAGCGUUCAGGCGCAAAAACUGUCCACGCCCUUCUCGGGCACCUCGCAUGGAGUAAGCAGACUGUCUCUGGUUCCCGCCCCGCCGCCCUCGACUUUGCCGGUCUGUGACAGCCCGCGCAGCUCAGAGGGAGAUGUCCUCGGGUUUUGCAGCGGCAAGCCACCGAGCAUACCGCUCGCACGCACGACCCAUGAAACCCAGCUUGCCUUGCUAGCGAGCUGCGGCAGUAACAGCAGCCACAGCGGUGGUGAGGGCAGCAAGGGGAAUGGAACGAAGGGUCCAGCGAGCCUUACCCCCUUUUCCUCCACAACCGCGCCGCCGCGAAGCGGCAGCGGCGCUCAUGCACCACCAAAGACGCAGCCGUUGCCCCCACCGCCUGCACCUGAGGCACCGCCACAAGACCCGCCGUCGUUACUCCCUCCACCGGCGCGGACACCCGAUGCAUCACCCCUCGCUCCCAGUGUGGCCGCCUCAUCGCCCUCUGAGUCGAUCUCCGGGCAUGGCGAAGCCCAGCUACCCAUCUUGGUCCCUGCACUGAACGCACCACCGCGGCCGCAGCUGCAGCCGGAGCGGCCGGCAGCAGCUGACUUGGUGCACUUCGCACCGCUCAUUCAGCAGUUCGACUUUCGCAAGAGGGACAUCAAGAGUAUUGCGUGUACCAGCGUCUUCAGUAUCGCUGACGUGAACACGGUGGCAGUGAAGCUGCGGCUGCUGCGGCACGAGGUACUGGGCCGCGCCGAGCCAAUCGCAAACAUCCAGCAGGCCGCCAUGAGGGCAGGACGCGUGAAGACGAUAGCGUCCAACAACCCGAAGAAGCAGCGCGCAUCAGCAUCAGCAGUGGCGCCGCCAGAUGUAGUCCCUGAACCGCCGGAUGUGGUUGAUGUCUCCGACUUUCACGACACUUUGGCCGUCUUUGACAGCCCUACCCUAGCCAUCAGUUAUGCGCUCUGGGGUAGCGUGGCGCCUUACAACGACUUGGUGAGGGCGCUGUGGGAGUUCUGCGCGCCAAAUCGUCGCCCGCGCAGCGGCGGCGAAUCCAGGACACGAGACGGGGACGACAGCGCCUUAGAAGCGGAGAGGCAACGCGCAGAUGCGGUGGCCGCGGCGGCAGCGCCCGCAUCGACACUGGUGGGCAACAAAACACACAUCUGGGUGCGCUUCUCGUCCGUGCUGCGCUUUUUGAACCACUGCGGCAUCGAUGUGCUCAUCGUGUCACCAGACCGCAAAGCCGCCACCUCGUUCUGUGCAAAGCGCCCUCAUCUACACCGAAGCCACCGUCGGCCAUCUGCCCACGUCACGCACGCGACGCCGCGGCGUCGCGUGCUCGUCGCCCUGAGCUACGACCGCGAACAGGGACUGUGGUGCCCCCUGACGACCGCCAGGCCAAUUCGCCAAGUGGCAUCGCAGUGGCGCGAAUACCAGCGCUCCCAGCGGCUGCAGACGCGACGCAGAGCCGGUCGUGGAAAGCACAAGGCCCACGCCGCGACCACCGUACAGGCAAAGGAAGACGCCGUCGAAGCGAGGGUACAGACGUGUGAGCAGCACCCCGCCCCCCAUCCACAACAGCCGCAGCAAAGCGAACCGGGUGGUACAGGCGCAGCCGCAAAUAAGGCCCCACACGUUGUCGUCACUGUUUCGGGCGAUAGCCCUAGCGAUGGAAGCAAGACACCGUCGUUAAAGUCGGGAAAGCGGCCGCCCUUUCACGCGGUUCUCUACCCGAACCUCGUGCAGACGGACGUGGGCUUCACGCUGCUUCUCCGGCAAGGCUUACAUCCACUCUUAAGAACAGUGUGCGUGCGCCUCACGGUUGGCGUGUCGCUCGGUUGCGUCGCGGUUCUCUUCGGUCUCGCGUUGAUCGUCUACGCCACGAAGACGACGGACGCAUGCCUCGUUGACGUUCGCGCGAGUCAAUGUGUCGACGUCGGCAGCAGUGGAAACAGUGGCGGCUUCGCCAGCGCCAGCGACUCCAGCUGCCUCUGGAUCCUCUUGAGUCUCUUUCCCCCCGCAUACCACGCUGGUCUCUCGAAUCGUUACCUCUACGGACCGCCCGCGGCGCCGGGCAAGUGUCUCAUUGUGAGUAUCUGCUGCAGCUUUGCCGCCCUCCUUGACAACGUCCUCAUCGUGUACUUCGCGGUUCGCUAUCUAGCCCUCGGCGGCGCUCAGCCGUGCUUCUUUCACCUUCUGCGCAGCAUCCAAGCGGUGCUCGGCGCGAUCGCGUGCGCGUUCGCCGCCUAUGUUCUGUCUAUCUUUCAUAAGCGCCUCCACGUGGUGCCGUGCGCGGCGCUCGCCGCCGGCGAUGCCGUGCUGUGCACAGCGCACCUUGAGAGCUGCAGCAAUCGCUACGCCUACGGGGCGCACGGUCCCCUAAGCGGCACUAACGUCGCCCUUGUUCUGGCCUGCGUGUACCUCGCCGUGUGCGUGCUCCACUGGCUCGUAGCUGCGCUGCCUGUCCUGCCGCGCAUUGCCACGCAAGAGCGGAUUCCUACUGCAACACCAGACACGUACACGUUCCGUCCAAGCCUUUUCGCCCCAGAUGGCCCCACACCGAUAGAGGUGGACCAGCUCCGGCAAGCAAUGCAGCAGCCGCUGCGGCAGGAGCUGCGCCACUGCGUUCAAGCGCGGGGUCGACUCCUGACAACCACGACGACAAUUGGCGAGGUGAUGCAGGCGAACCGUGUGAAGAGCUUGAAGAUGACGGAACUGAACGAGGAGCGGCGCCGGCAGCGAUCACGGCCGUUUCAGCUGCGGUCACGCGACGACGAUAGCGGUCAGCGCGGGCGAAAAGCCUACCGCGGAGAACGACGGCGAUACGUGGUGGUGAGUGCGGAAGGCGAGACAGUGAGCAGCCACCACAGCAGCCGUUCGUCAUCAGUGAGCUCGUCUCACCUCGCUGGCGGCGAUUGCAGCAGCUCGGUCGUGCUGGCUGCGCGGCUGAUGCAGCGCGUGGCCGAGAUCGGCUCCAGAGCGCAAGAGCGCGGCUUGCCCAGGACAACCGUCAGUCCCCUCGGCUCCGACGGCACUGUGCUCUCUCAUAUCCCGGGCGAGGGGCAGGUUUCGUCCUUGCCUGUGUCGCACCCGUCGAGCUGCCUCGUUGGCCCCCAGGAACCAUCGUCCCGCUGCCCAUCGGCCACCGGUGCGCGGGCGGUCGUGGUAACAGACGAGGAGUCGAUCGUCUCUAAAAGCGGCGGCGACGAUCUCGCAAGGCAGGGUGGUGCGCCAUCGCUACCUGUGCCCCUUUCUAGUCGUCUUUUAGCCUCAACGAAUCUCGUGGCCUCUCCCAUCUGCGCCUCCUCUGCAAGGUCGGGGUUAGGCCGGCCGUCCGCUUCGUCCACACUCACCAGCAAAACUCCUGCGCACGCCUCGCGGACGGCGUCGGGUGAGAGCUACCGCCAUCCGCGAGGGUCGUACCGCGCUAGAAUGACAAGCGUACGCUCUGCUGAUGUUUCCGCCGCAGUCUCACCAACGGUGAACGUGGAGAUUGACCGCAUUGUGGCGCGGGUGCGUGCACGCAAGGAUGCCUUGAUUGAUGGCGCCACAUGAGGGUCAGCUUGGUGACGAUGCCGACGUGAUACAGGUCCUCCUGACGACGAUGCCCGCUGUGCAUGUGUGCGGUUGUACUCCUGUGGACCUCUUUGUUCUUUGGUUGUUGGGCCCUCGGAGCGCACGCGUGCUCCUCCUUUUUUACUUCGUUUACUCUAGGCGCCUCUCUCCUAUCUUGUGCAUUUCUAUCUUGCCUGUACUCCCCUAAG